rnacentral:rRNA from 1 species
UCAGGAUGAACGCUGGCGGCGUGCCUAACACAUGCAAGUCGAACGAGCGAGAGAUGAAACCUAGUGAUUCUCGAGCGAGUGGCGGACGGGUGAGUAACGCGUGGGUAACCUGCCUUACAGAGGGGGAUAACAGUCUGAAAAGACUGCUAAUACCGCAUAAGCACACAGUACCGCAUGGUACAGGGUGAAAAGAUUUAUCACUGUAAGAUGGACCCGCGUCUGAUUAGCCAGUUGGCAGGUAACGGCCUACCAAAGCGACGAUCAGUAGCCGACCUGAGAGGGUGAUCGGCCACAUUGGGACUGAGACACGGCCCAAACUCCUACGGGAGGCAGCAGUGGGGGAUAUUGCACAAUGGAGGAAACUCUGAUGCAGCGAACCGCCGCGUGAGUGAAGAAGUAUUUCGGUAUGUAAAGCUCUAUCAGCAGGGAAGAUAAUGACAGUACCUGACCAAGAAGCCCCGGCUAACUACGUGCCAGCCGCUGC